GGCCGGGGGCGGGUCAGGGCAGCAGGCCCCGGGGAGCGCGGCGGCGGCGGCGGCGGCGGCUCCUGGCCCAUCGCAGGGCGGCCUGGCUGGAGGCCUGUCCCCUCCACGCCCCCUCGAGCUCUGCGCCCCCAGGUGGCCCCCCCAGCAGGCCGCCCCCCCAGGCAGCACUGACCCUGCUCCACCCAGUGGAGGAUAAAUGGGGAAGAGGUAUUUCUGUGACUACUGCGACCGAUCCUUUCAAGACAAUCUGCACAACAGGAAGAAGCACCUGAACGGGGUACAGCACCUGAGGGCCAAGAAGGCCUGGUAUGACCUGUUCCGAGAUGCUGCUGCUGUCUUGCUGGAGGAGCAGAGCAAGAAGCCCUGCAGGAAGUUUCUGCAAACAGGGCAGUGUGACUUUGGGUUCAACUGCAGAUUCUCUCACAUGACUGAGGAGGAUUUGGAGAAGCUGAACGCACAGGUACAAGAGGAAAGGAGACCAAAGGAGGAAGGAGCAGAGGUCCCAGCUGGCACAGUCGAGGACUGGCUGGAGAAGAGAGCAAAGAGGCUGAGUUUUGCUCAGAGCAACAGGUAUGCCUCCUCCCUUGCCUUGGCUAUAACCUGAUUCUGCUUUACCUCAGACAACAAGGUCCUCAGGAGGAUAUUACAGUCAUCCCAGUCCGGCUUGUGACUACUGAGGCACCCCUUGAAGACUGAAAUAAACCGGCUUGGGAUGGAGUCCAGGAAUCCCCGCUGCUAGGAGCAUCCUAAGGAACUGUACACGUGAGCGUUUCUCCUGCAACUGCAAGUUCCUUAAAUCACACCCACCAUGGUCACCCAGCCGUGUAUACAUGAUCUCCUAUGAUUGUUAUGGGUUGGGUUACCCGAGUUAUGGGUCAGAUAGAAACGUCGCCUUUGCCUGACAGAACUGUGAAGAAGCCAUUGUAAAGUGGCUGAAGCAUUAGCCCCAAACACAGGCACAUGGAAGAGCCUGAAGAGAAGGGGAAUCUUGUGGCCUCAGGGGUUUCAUAUGCAGUGGUGAGGGCGUAGGUUGGCGAAACUGGUUUUUCUCUGUGUGUGGGAGAGAGACACAGCAUAAGGGGAGAGACACAGAAAGACAGAAGGAGAAAGAAAGCCAAACAGCCACCGCCUGGAAGCCUAGAGAGAGGCUUUCGGUUGGGUUGAGAGAGGCACUGUUUGAGUCCUGUGGUCAGGGGAACAAGACUUGGCACAUUCUUAUCAAAAAACCAAAAUUACAUCAAAAGAAAAACCUGACUCUUCUUCCCAAGUUCUCCUCCUAACUGGAACAACCUGCAAGACCCCAUAUAUUUGGUUAUCUGUUUGGGUCAAAAGGGGCAACAUUAUUAUGGGAGAAUCUCAGCUUUCAUUAAAGCUUGGAAGGAAAGUUCUAGCCUGCCUGGUUGCAGAGAAAAGUUUUAAAAUGUGACCCCUAAUGAAGAUAAGAACAGCCAGACUGGGGCAGACCAAUGGUCCAUCUAGCCCAGUGUCCUGUCUUCCGACAGUGGCCAAUGCCAGGUGCCCCAGAGGGAAUGGCAAUUUAUCAAGUGAUAACAGAACAGAACAGGGCAAUUUAUCAAGUGAUUCAUCUCCUGUCAUCCAGUUCCAGCAUUUGGCAGAGGUUUAGGGACACCCACAGCAUGGGGUUGAUAGCCACGGAUGUAUCUAACCUCCAGGAAUGUAUCUAAUUCUUUUUUUGAACCCAGUUAUACUUUUGGCCUUCAUAACAUCCCCUGGCAAUGAGUUCCACAGGUUAACUGUGCUUUGCGUGAAGUACUUUUUGUUUAUUUUAAACCUGGUGUGUAUUAAUUGCAUUGGGUGACCCCCAGUUCCUGUGUUCUGUGAAGGGGCAAAUAACACUUCCUUGUUCACUUUCUCCACCCCAGUCAUCUCCCCCCUUAGGCGCCUCUCUCUUUUCCAAGCUGAACAGUCUCUGUUUUUAAUCUCUCCUCGUGUGGAAGCUGUUCUACACUCAGGAUAAUUUUUCUUGCCUGUCUCUGUAUGUUUUCCAAUUCUAAUAUUUUUUUGGGGGAUACGGUGACACGAACUGCACACAGUAUUCAAGGUGUAAGCAUACCAUGGAUUUGUAUAGUGGCAUUGUGAUAUUUAUUGGCUUAUUAUCUAUCCCUUUUCUAAUGUCUCCUAACAUUCUGUUCGCUUUUUGGAUGCCACUGCACAUUGAGCAGAUGUUUUCAGAGAACUAUGCACAAUGACUGUAAAAUAUCUUCUUCCAUGUUAACAGCUAAUUUAGAGCCCAGCAUUUGAUAUGUAUAGUUGGAAUGAUGUUUUCCAGUGUGCAUUACUUUGCUUUUAUCAACAUUGAAUUUCAUCUGCCAUUUUUAUUUGAGCAUAAGCUUUCGUGAGCUACAGCUGACUGCAUCCGAUGAAAAGCUUAUGCUGAGAUAAAUUGGUUAGUCUCUAAGGUGCCACAGGUACUCCUGUUCUUUUUCCGGAUACAGACUAACACGGCUGCUACUCUGAAAUCUGCCAUUUUGUUGCCCAGUGACCAAUUUUAUGAGAUCCCUUUGUAACUCUUCAGUCUGCUUUGGACUUAACUAUUUUUAGUAAUUUUACAUCGUUGGUGCUGGCUUGCAAAAGACAGAUGAAUCCUGGGAUCCAAAGAGAGGAAUCAUGGAAGUUUGCUAUCAUGACCCCUGAAUCCCAGAAUUCCACUGGCUUCCAGCAGGUAUCUCACAACACACUACAAGAAAAAAUCCCAGAAUGCAAAGAGCCCAGCAGCGGGAUAAAGUGCCCUUGUUGCCAAGAAGGCUAAUGGCAUUUUGGGCUGUAUAAGUAGGAGCAUUGCCAGCAGAUCGAGGGACGUGAUCAUUCCCCUCUAUUCGACAUUGGUGAGGCCUCAUCUGGAGUACUGUGUCCAGUUUUGGGCCCCAUACCACAAGAAGGAUGUGGAAAAAUUGGAAAGAGUCCAGCAGAGGGCAACAAAAAUGAUUAGGGGACUGGAACACAUGACUUAUGAGGAGAGGCUGAGGGAACUGGGAUUGUUUAGUCUGCAGAAGAGAAGAGUGAGGGGGGAUUUGAUAGCUGCUUUCAACUACCUGAAAGGGGGGUUCCAAAGAGGAUGGCUCUAGACUGUUCUCAGUGGUAGCAGGUGACAGAACAAGAAGUAAUGGCCUCAAAUUGCAGUGGAAGAGGUUUAGGUUGGAUAUUAGGAAAAACUUUUUCACUAGGAGGGUGGUGAAGCACUGGAAUGGGUUCCCUAGGGAGGUGGUGGAAUCUCCUUCCUUAGAUAUUUUUAAGGUCAGGCUUGACAAAGCCCUGGCUGGGAUGAUUUAGUUGGGGAUUGGUCCUACUUUGAGCAGGGGGUUGGACUAGAUGACUUCCUGAGGUCCCUUCCAACCCUGAUCAUCUAUGAUUCUAUGAUUUUUUGAAAGCAUUAUGGGAUACUUGCCCAGAAUGCUGAGCACUUAUUUUGAAAUACUCAGUGCUGUGUGUAUGGCUGAUCCAGACGGAAGUAGAUAAUAGCCAGCCAUGUGGACGUAACUAUUUUGGAAUAGUUAUCUGCAAGAAUUAGUGUGCACCGCCUUGCUCCACCCACUCCUCAGUGCAGACAAGUCGUAAGUACUGAGAUGUUGCUGUCUGGUCAUGGGCAGAUGGUCCCAGGCUGAACUGCUGGCACAUCCACAAUACAUUCCUGUAUUCAUGAUGGCACAGGGAAGGGGUGGGAAACUCACAUUCUCAGUGUCAAAGAGGCAUGGCGUGCAGGCAUAUGGCUGUCUUGGGAUGGGCUGGAGGCUGGCUGGGGAGAGAAGGGCAGAGUUGAGGUUGUCUGGGUGACUGAUCAUUAAACAGUGUAACUUCAAUGUUCCAUUUCUUUUUUGUAUUUGUUUUUAAAUUAGGAUGCUCUAAGAAAAGUUCACCUAAAUUGCUGAUACAUAGUUACAGUCAACUUCAGAUUCCCCAAGCUUUUUAGGCUGGGAAUUUCCUGUGUUUUCUGAGUGGUUCAGUGACAGCUGGCUUGGAACACCCUAGUUCUGGUCACUGUUACAGCUUGUGCUGUUCAGCCAGGCAAACCCUAGAGUAAAAUGCACCCAAGGUCUGCUUCAGUCUCUCUCAUAAAGCCUUGACUCCAUAUUAUAACCUCAGCCAUUUUGUCUGUGCUGUGACCCUGCGUUAGGAGUGGUGGUGACAGUCUUCCAUUCCCUGCUGUUGUUCACCCUCUUCAUAUGCAGCCUAGAACUGCCUCCUAACUUUAUGAAGUUCAUAAAUGAUGUGGCGAGCUUUGUGAGUAGGAAAAUUGGCCAGGCCCCUUGGAGUUUCUGUUGCCCUGGGUGACCUUCACUUUGGGUUUGGGGAAGAGCACAGCAACCUUGAUGCCAUUCUUAAACGUGAACAAAUCCCAAGUAAUUAAAUCCAGACACUCUCCACAAACUCCUCCUCGGCACAAGCCCCUUUCAGGGCCACUAGGCUAAAACAAGCCUGGAGUUUCUAGGCUACGUGGUUAGCCUAGGCUAUGUGAAUUACUUCUCUUUAUUUUUAGCACUGUAUCUCAGAAACAGCUUGUCAGAUCCACUGUAAAUUUGGCAAAGGAAUGCUGCUUCGGCCAAACCACAGCCCCACCAGGUUUGAAGUGUGUAACUUUUGGAAAGAGUUGAGAAGGGGUGAGGUGGAAUGCAAACGCAGGGUUAGACUAGAAACCUGACUGCUUCAGUCUGAAGAGACCAGGGUUGCUCCAUAGCUAUAUCUCAGUCCCAGCCCCUGCAACCCACUAACCUCUCACUGCACUCCCAUCCUCCCCCAAGGCUGAAGCGUUCAUAACUCAGAACUACACUUGUAAGGUAUGUAAAACAAUAACACCUCUAAGAAGAUUUUCCUCAGAUGUCUGCCGAAUGAAAUGUGACAAAGGAUAAAUAAAUCCGUGGGAGGGCGCAGGGCACAGAGGUGCCUGGGAACUGAUUUUAAUUAAAAAAUGUUUUUCUUGUAAAAUCUUGUGUGAUCUCUCCCCAUAAAGCACAAGCUGGGGGAGUGGAUAAGCAGGAUAAAGCUGUACAUACAUCUGAGGGCUCUGAAGACAUCCAAGCUAUUGAUAUGUGCAUAUAACCUUAUAGCUCUGAGUUACCUAUAGCAUCCUAUAAAUUACAGGCUUUUAUAGCCUUAUAUUUUACUGUGUGGUGUCUGGAGACAUAAUGACACAAUGUAUCAUCGCCUGAGAUGAUGCGCAAACAGUUAUGGGCUAACUUGUAAAAAGGGUAUUGAAAGAACUUGCCUGAUUGGCUGGGAAAGUUCUGAAUGUGCGAGUCAAGAGCAGGCCGUUGUCAUGCUUGAGUGAGAGGUGCCUGACCUGGGGAGCACUGGUGGGUGAAGCAGCAAGCGCUGAGGCCUGCAGGCAGCUGGAUGUGCACAUCGGGCGGGCUCUCCCCCUCAUCUCCAGCUGCCAGACUGGAUCAGAAAGCAGUUACAAAUACACCAGGCCCUUUCCUAAGGUUACUUUCCCAUGGAAGCGAUUGCUAUGGUUGCCAUGGCAGUACAGGGAGGGGGUUGUGUUAUGCUUAUAAGAAGCAGAGGGGCUCUUUUUCAGGGGAAAAGGCAAUAUGCCACAUUUAUUGAAGAUACAACAAUCAGCAUAUGCAUUCAAUCACACACACACACACACUGUCCCACCAGUCGAUGUUAUCGUUACCAGUCCAGAGUCUGGAUCAACCUAGUGGUCAGCUAGGUUGAUCACUGUUGGGGAGGAGCUGGGUUCCGUUGGUCACAACAUGAUGCUCCGGGGAAGUCUUGGCAGGACGAACCCAAAGUUUCAUGGCAAGGCACCCUGUUUAUAUAGUGAUUUUCCUUUAUUGGGACCAAUGACUUUUGCACUGUCAUACUGUAAUCAAUUGUUGUUUGAUGAGUGCUUGUUUUCUUAAAUUGUCCUUCUCAUCCUUUAUCUUGUUCUUUCAUCAAGUUCCUCAGGGAGUUACCCCAUGCUGGUUUUGAUGACAGCUAUCUUGUCCCCAUUGAAAGGUGCCUGUCUCAUCUUUAGAGUCAUCAAUCUGCCCUCCUCUGACAUUUCAAUAGGGGCGUGUUGCAGCCUCCUGGUGCCCUUGCGUCUGUCUCCGGUACCUCCCUAGACCAUCUGGUUCACCAAUGGCCUUCACACUUAUCUCUUAACACACACAUUCCUCAUUCACACACAAAACAAAAUUAAUUUACACAGAACAUUUUGAACAGGACAUUCAAGUUGCAAUGCAAAAGAAAAACAAUCAUUACAUUCUUUUACUUAUUUUAAAAUGCUAAACCUACAACAAAUUGGUGACUCUCAAAGGCCUUGAAAUCAGCACAGAAACAGAUUCUGGCUGAUGCAUCUUUACCAAAUGGCCCUGUCAUAAAUAUAAAGGGAAGGGUAAACACCUUUAAAAUCCCUCCUGGCCAGAGGAAAAACCCUUUCACCUGUAAAGGGUUAAGAAGCUAGUAUAACCUCGCUGGCACCUGACCACAAUGAUCAAUGAGGAGACAAGAUACUUUCAAAGCUGGAGGGGGGAGAAACAAAGGCUUUCUCUGUCUGUGUGAUGUUUUUGCCAGGAACAAAAAAGGAACAGAGUCUUAGAACUUAGUAAGUAAUCUAGCUCAAUAUGCGUUAGAUUCUGUUUUGUUUAAAUGGCUGAUAAAAUAAGCUAUGCUGAAUGGAAUGUAUAUUCCUGUUUUUGUGUCUUUUUGUAACUUAAGGUUUUGCCUAGAGGGAUUCUCUAUGUUUUGAAUCUGAUUACCCUGUAAGGUAUUUACCAUCCUGAUUUUACAGAGGUGAUUCUUUUUACUUUUUCUUCUAUUAAAAUUCUUCUUUUAAGAA